UUACAGUCAUAUCACGUUGAAACACCUGUUCCCGUACGAUCAUCGAAGUUAAGCAACGUCGAGCUUGGUCAGUACCUAGAUGGGUAACCGCUUGGGAAUACCAGGUGCUAU